CAGGAGUUUCCAGCAGAUUCUAAGGGAGAAGAGAGAGUCCAGAAGACAACUCAGUAUAGUGACCAUGUCAACAUUUUCUGAAGAUGAUUUGAACCCAGAUGGAAGCCAGCAUGAAGAUCAGAAUAUCAAUGGAGACCAUAACAAACAUCCAUGGGCCAAACCUGGGUAUGAUCUCUUGCUCAUUUUCAGUUUGAACCGUGUUGUUGUUUAGCUGUUCUUUAUCAAA
rnacentral:lncRNA from 1 species